UCCUACCCCAUAAUAAGAAUGCACUACUCAAAAAUCAAAGGAACACUGUCUUAACAAAUCAAAUCAUGCAUGUCUAAUCCUUACUUUUGGAUAUUAAUUGCAAUUAUCCAAAAUUUGUGUGCGCGGAUAGCAUCCCAAGAGAAACAAGUGACAAAAGUGAGGGCAAUUCUGCAGCAUCAAAUCGAAACCCAUGACAAAAUCAGGACCAAGGCAACAGAAAGUAAUCCAACUCCACUAAUGCACAUUGCUCUAACUAUAUCCAAAUUCUUUAAUCACUCUUCCAAAAAUCUGUUUUUAUAUACAACUCUGCAUUUCAUAAUCUUAAAAACCCUACUUACAAUCAAUUAACACAAAAAUUUUAAAUCAGGGGAAAAAAGGCCCACAAGCAUUCCAUAUCCUCAGUUCUUUACACCUUCAAAAUGAAAAGUGAAAACCCCAUGUUUUCUUCUCCCAUGAAUAAUUACAAACUUUUUACAAUCAGAAAUUUGACGAGUUUGGGCAAUUCCCAUUUCUCGCCCCGCCACCAACCUGGUAUCGACUCCGGCUGAGUCCACCCGAUUCCAAUACAUCUUCCCAAUCAGCUUCCUCAUCGUCCUCGUCUCUCCCUCUCAUCAUCUGCAAAAUUUUCUUGGCUUUCUCUCUCGCUCUCUCGUUCCCUCUCUCUUCUAUCUCCCUCAACACCUCCACUGCUCUCGCCUCCUUUGCUAGCCCUUUAAAUCUCAAGCUCCCAUGACUCAACGCGAACAAUGCCGCCACGCAAUUCUCCCGAGUAGCUUCAGAAUCCACCCGCUUGCUUCCCUCUCUCAACAUCCCCACCAAUAUCGCCACCGCAUUUCCGUCCAGCAUUGCCGAUCUCCCUUCAUUGCAAACAGCUAAAUUGCAUAAAAUUAGCAACAGCCGACUGGCCAAGUCACCCGCUUUCAGCAUGCUCAGCAGUGUAGGCACAGCGCCGAGUUUCACCAGCUUGACCCGGUUACUCUGUAUUAGACUCAAAUGAUACAAUGCCAAAGCUGAGUCAUGACGAGUUCGCUCACUCUCAGACCUCAGAGCGUGCAUCAAUGGGUGUAACGCGCCCAAAACCCCAAUUGCCAUCUUGUUCUCGUCUUCUAAAGCUAAACUGAAGAGCGCACCGGCAGCAUGCUCCUGCGGUUCACUGGAUCCUGCUUUCAACACAUCAAUCAACAGAGGAACGAAUCCUGACCGUACGAUUUUAACUUUGUUCGCUUUCUCCAGCGACAGAUUCACCAGUGAAGCGAUGGCGUUCGUUUGCACGACACAGUAUCUCGAAGCAAUCGAGGAACGGAGAGCUGUGAGUAAUCGGGGAGUAGAGAGAGAAAUUCUCAGAUCCUCUCGAGCUCUAGUGAGCCUCCUCAGCGAAAUCACCGCUUCUUCUUGUUCGUGUACUUCAGGGCUUUUAAGCUUAGCCAAAAUCUCUUUCUCUUCAGGGAGUGAGGAAUUGGAACUGGAGUCAGCGGAAUUGGUAUUUUGCAUUAGGGUUAGGGUUUCAGCUUCUGUAAUUUCCGAUGAUGAGUUAGAAGACGAAGCGUAACAAGCCGGCCGAGUCGCGAGAGGCAACGGAGUAAACGGACUCGCGUUCUCGUUAUUGACGAUCACGGAUUCCUCGGAGGAGCUCGAGUAGAAAUGAUUGACUCGGUGACCAAACUCGGUUGCGGCGUGCGAGAAUAGAACUGGAGGAUUCUCCGCCACAGCAUUCAGCAACUCGCUCUCGGAGACCCUAAUCUCGGGGUUCAAACUUCUGGAUUCCGCCAUCUUCGUACGGACGACUUUUUCGACAGUGCUGUAAUCCGGCGGGCCAGGGCGUUCAUAGCUAGAAGUAUCGCACCAGCUGAGAAUCGUCGAUUUGAUGGCUAAAUUAGGAAUUACAGUAGUGAAAUCCGGAAUCGAGUCAUCGUCGAGGGGAGGAGCGAAACCCAGGUCACGGCAAACCUGGACAGAAACGCGCUCGAAGGUCUGACCGGAGGAGACAACAACCGGGUCGGACAUUAAGGAUCCAGAAAUGGGGCAAACGAACUCUUUUGGAGGAUUAGCAGGUUUGUGGUUGGAUUUGGAGCGAUGGUGGAAGGAGAUUUUCCAUCUGUGUUUGCCAUUACCACCCAUAGCUUGAAGAAGUAACACAGAGGAAUUGCUGCAGGAAGCGUUGAAGUGCGGGUUUUAUUAGGAGGAAGAAGACUGGGUCUGAAGGAUUGGAAGAUUUUGACUAUUUUUCUGCGAGAAUAAGAGUAGCAGGGAGGGAGAAGAACUGGUUUUUAGUUUUGCUCAACUAAGGAAAGCUGCUACUUUUCUUUUGUUGAAUAUUUAUUAAAAACCAAAUUGAGUUUGUUAUUUACAGAACUGACCUUCUCUCUGGUUUCUGGCUAAGAAAACUGCGAACUGGUCAGUCUAGCUGUCUAGAGUCUCAUUAUUAACGUUGUUUUUUUUUUAUUUUUAAAUUACGCUGUUUAUGUUUCACAAAAUUGACCAGACAAUAUCCAUUCUUGAUUUGACUCAGCCGCAAAUUCUCUCUCCUCUCCCUAAAAAGUUCGGUUUCCGAUUUUAGUUUAAGGGAGGUCCGACCAUUUGAUUAUCGACCCUCCUUCAAAUUUAUUUUUAUUUAUGCUUUUUUUUAGUUAGUUGUUUCCCUUUAAUUUCUUAGUUUUCUCCGUAUCCAGCAAUGUAGUUGUAAU
rnacentral:misc_RNA from 1 species